rnacentral:rRNA from 1 species
CCUACGGGUGGCAGCAGUGAGGAAUAUUGGUCAAUGGACGAGAGUCUGAACCAGCCAAGUCGCGUGAGGGAUGACUGCCCUAUGGGUUGUAAACUUCUUUUAUCUGGGAAUAAAAUGUUCCACGUGUGGGAUUUUGUAUGUACCAUAUGAAUAAGGAUCGGCUACCUCCGUGCCAGCAGCCGCGGUAAUACGGAGGAUCCGAGCGUUAUCCGGAUUUAUUGGGUUUAAAGGGAGCGUAGGUGGAUUGUUAAGUCAGUUGUGAAAGGUUGCGGCUCAACCGUAAAAUUGCAGUUGAAACUGGCAGUCUUGAGUACAGGAGAGGUGGGCGGAAUUCGUGGUGUAGCGGUGAAAUGCGUAGAUAUCACGAAGAACUCCGAUUGUGAAGGCAGCCCACUGGACUGCAACUGACACUGAGGCGCGAAAGCGUGGGUAUCAAACAGGAUUAGAUACCCCAGUAGUC